GUUAUCUGGUUCAACCUAGCUCCUCAAGCAGGGACAUCUAGAGCCAGUUGUCCAGGACAACAUACAGACCUUGCUGUUUUUCAUUUUGUGCCCAUUGCCUCUUGUCCUGCCACCAGGUAUUCCCGAAGAGAGCCUGGUUCCAUCUUUGCACCCUCCUUUCAGGAUGACUGGAUAACAGCCUAACAGAAGGCAGGAGGUUUGAUAAAUCCUGACUUCAGCAGGAGAAGACCUUGUAUUCUGAUUCCACAAGGCAAAGCACUUUUUCACCACUCUUCUGCAGUACUUCAGAUGUCAAGAACUGGAAGGCAGAGGUGAAGCUUAGUGAGACAUCUGAAACACUACAUCCAGUUUUGAUAACCCAUUGUGAGGAGGACACCAACAGACUUGGACCAGUUCAGCUUAGGACCUCCAGCUGAACAGGCUGAAACACUUGACCUUUUGCUCCAAACCCCACUGAAAUCAGGUGGAGAGAAAUAGGGAUCAAACAGUAGAAAGAAAUGUCUUUCAACUAAAGAGCAGAAAAAGAUCAUAUUUAAUCAGAUAAAAAAUCUCAGUCCUUCUGCCAACUGCAAAAAACAGUCAGCUGCCUCAAAAUGGAAGGAAGAUACUCCUAAUACUUUCAAUGGGAUUUGGUGUCAGGGAGCAGCAAGUAUGAGGGUGUUCCAAGAGGGAAGACAAACCAAAAGAUGAUGACACCAGCAGAAGAAAAAGCAGUGCCUUCACCAGUCAGAGGCAGAAAAUUCUCUUAAGACAAUAAUGGAAGUAAGGGAGAAAUUUCCUCUCCAGAUGUCAAUAAAAGAAGUGUUUUACCCUUG